GACCCGCAGAAAUGUUUGGAUUAUUUUGGAUCUAAAAAUAAAUGAUCCGAUCUGAUCCGAUCCGAUCCGAACCCAAUAUACGGCCCAAAUAUAUUCUAAGGCCUAUGCUUACAUGAGAGCAAAGUUAGUACCUUUUAUUAUCAAAAGUUCCAAUUGGAGAAUGCUUUCACCUGUCAUACUCUUUUAUCACUUAAGGACUACAAGGAUAGUUUGUAAAUCAAUUUUUACUUUCAAG
rnacentral:lncRNA from 1 species